rnacentral:rRNA from 1 species
UGCCUACGGGGCGCAGCAGUAGGGAAUCUUCCACAAUGGACGAAAGUCUGAUGGAGCAACGCCGCGUGAGUGAAGAAGGGUUUCGGCUCGUAAAGCUCUGUUUGUAGUGGAGAAAGAUAGAGGUAGUAACUGGCCUUUAUUUUACGGUAAUUACUUAGAAAGUCCCGGCUAACUACGUGCCCGCCGCCGCGGUAAUACGUAGGUGGCAAGCGUUGUCCGGAUUUUUUGGGCGUCAAGCGAGU